AAAAUUUUUGAAUCUAGUCACGAAAUUAUGAUAAGUUCUUUUUGUUUAUUGGUAAUGAAGUACUCAUGGUUGUUACCGACGAGAACAGUGAUAAGCCUAUGAUAGCUUAUCAAAUGACUCAAGAAGCAUUAUUAGCUUACACGCAACAUAUCCAUCAUGAAAGGAGAGAUUCUAUGAUUGAAAAUAGCGAUAAUCACUCGUGUCGGUUAUAAAGCUUUUAACGUAAACCUAACUUAAUUUCAGUUGUUCAAAUGAAAGUUUUAUUUCAUAUACUCAAUUCUCCUAGAUGUGUUGCUACGCAUUAAAAAAUUAAUUUAACGUUAAUGUACUUUUGUAUUAUAUUCUUUGCUUGUAUGCAUUUUCCUCAUCAUUGUCAAUAAAUUUUAUAUUUUGUCAUGUUA
rnacentral:lncRNA from 1 species